rnacentral:rRNA from 1 species
AACGAACGCUGGCGGCAUGCCUAACACAUGCAAGUCGAGCGAAGGCUUCGGUUCUAGCGGCGCACGGGUGCGUAACGCGUGGGAAUCUACCCUUAUGUUCGGAAUAGCAGUUGGAAACUGCUACUAAUACCGUAUGCUGCCGUUUGUGCAAAGAUUUAUCGCCUAGGGAUGAGCCCGCGUUGGAUUAGGUAGUUGGUGUGGUAAUGGCGCACCAAGGCGACGAUCCUUAGCUGGUUUGAGAGGAUGAUCAGCCACACUGGGACUGAGACACGGCCCAGACUCCUACGGGAGGCAGCAGUGGGGAAUAUUAGACAAUGGGGGAAAGCCUGAUCUAGCCAUGCCGCGUGAGUGAUGAAGGCCUUAGGGUUGUAAAGCUCUUUCAGCCGGGAAGAUAAUGACGGUACCAGCAGAAGAAGCCCCGGCUAACUCCGUG